AUGUUCUUGGAAAAAAGAAAUAAAAUAAAGGUGUUCCUUAAAAAUAAAAAUGAAACCGCGCCCGAGACUGGACGUGGAACGAGGAGGACGACGAGCCACAAGUCCCACACGGCAGCCGGCCACCAAGCAAAAAUAUCCUCUGAAAACCAAGCCAACCUGCAGUUGCAGCCGAGCAAGCACAGCAGCGUCGUCGACCACCAUCGAGCCGUACUCCAUGGCUGCCGUGACCACCGCCUCCCUCUGCCCCGGCCUCGGCAGGCCCCGCCGAGGCCACGCGAAGCCGCCGAGAACAACGGCCUGCCAUUGCCUCCCUGCUCGGAGGGCGGAGGAGGGGGUGAAUCGGCGGGACGCCCUGCUCGGCGUCCUCCUCUCCGCCACUGCCGCGUCGUCAGCGCCGCUGCUCGUCCCCGCCGAGGCCUUCGCCGAAACCGCCGAGGCGCAGGAGGGGUUCACCGCGUACGAGGACGAGGCCAACAAGUUCACCCUCGUGAUUCCACAAGGCUGGCAGGUCGGCGCAGGUGAACGCAGCGGCUUCAAGAACGUGACGGCGUUCUUCCCCGAGCAAAACCCCAACUCCAGCGUCAGCGUCGUGAUCACCGGGAUCGGGCCGGACUUCACCAGCCUCAAGUCCUUCGGUAACGUCGACGAGUUCGCCGAAAACCUGGUGACCGGCCUGGACAGGAGCUGGCAGAGGCCGGCGGGGCUCGCAGCGAAGCUCAUCGACUCCAAGGCAUCAAACGGCCUGUACUACAUCGAGUACACGCUGCAGAACCCCGGCGAGAAGCGCCGCCACAUCGUCUCCGCCAUUGGGAUGGCAUUCAACGGCUGGUACAAUCGGCUGUACACGGUGACAGGGCAGUACAUCGACGACGACGAGGAGUCAGCCAUAUACAAGCCUGAGAUAGAGAAGUCUGUAAAGUCGUUCAAGUUCACAUGAAAUGCCUCCAAAAGGAAGUUCAGGUGAGAACAAGUAUAGAGUGACAGAGAAGAGAGAGUAUACAAAGCUAGUAGCUCCUGAUGUUAAGUUCAAUUAGUGAGUAUGUAUAUGUUUGUCGAAUUUACCGGAAAGAAAAGAUGAACACCAGAUGUUCGAAGACUUCGAUGGUGUAGCUUGGCUGAGAACAGCAUUGGCAGCAUGAGUGUGAGAUAGAGCAUGAGAGUAUCAUUGGUUCUAAGAAAAUUGCUAGAACUUGGUUAUAAGGAAACUAAAAUUGCUCUGAUGUAAACUUCCUAGCACCUAUUUUUGGGCCCAUGUGUUAGUUUUUUUUUUCAUC